rnacentral:rRNA from 1 species
UGGGGAAUAUUGGUCAAUGGGGGAAACCCUGAACCAGCAACGCCGCGUGAGGGAAGAAGGCCUUCGGGUUGUAAACCUAAGUUGUCAGGGAAGAAGUAAGUGACGGUACCUGAAGAGAAAGCUCCGGCUAACUACGUGCCAGCAGCCGCGGUAAUACGUAGGGAGCGAGCGUUGUCCGGAAUUACUGGGUGUAAAGGGUGCGUAGGCGGGAAAGCAAGUCAGACGUGAAAUGCCGGGGCUCAACCCCGGAGCUGCGUUUGAAACUGUUUUUCUUGAGUGAAGUAGAGGCAGGCGGAAUUCCUAGUGUAGCGGUGAAAUGCGUAGAUAUUAGGAGGAACACCAGUGGCGAAGGCGGCCUGCUGGGCUUUAACUGACGCUGAGGCACGAAAGCAUGGGGAGCAAACAGG